GCGUAGGUAGUAUAAUGGUUAUUAUCUCGGUUUCCCAAUGUCUGGCCUAGUGUAUACUGGGAGUCAAACUCGUAAAUAACUUUACGUACCGAGGAACCGGGUUCGAUUCCCGGCCUACGCA